CCCCCCGGUCCCGCGGGUGGCAGCGGCCGGGCAGCGGCGGCGGCCGCCGCGGGUGCCUCCUGCCGGCCCGUCGGGGGCUUUUCGCAGAAAAUUUCAGAGGGUGUUCUUCCCCCCUCUCCUUGGGUGGGUAGUGAGGGAAUGCAACGGGUUUGUUCUUAUUUUCAGUUCUGAAGGGUUUGUUAUUUUGAAAACCUGAAGAGCGACCAGCAACCAAGGCAGUGAGAGUGUCGUCUCUCGAUGGAAUUUAGUGUCAGUCUGAAACAAAAAAAAAGUAGUUUGGUUGUUUUUUUGAGGGAAGAGGGGUUGGACAAAACUUCAAACUGAUUCCACAGCCUUGGUUUGACCAGCAGAGCAGGUUCAAAAAUUAAUUCUUGGUGCGUCUUUUCUUUGCAUCGCCGUGAGGCUCCACUUGUAUCUCUCAUCCAGUAAGCUGGAUGCAUUUUAAGAAUAGUUUAAGCCCAAGAGGUAGAAAUACUGGUGCUUCACAGUGUCAGUCUUCUUCCUGACUUUUCCUCCCUUGACUGUGCACGGUUUUGAAGAUCUUCUGUGCCAUUUACUUUGACAAAGGUCAUUGAUUUUUCUGCUGUAAUGGCUCUGUGACAUCUGUAUUGAGAACUAGAAGUACAAGAACUCUAUAAAACUUGGUCCCAGUUAAAAUCCUUGUUGCAAGUGAGUUGUUUCUGUGACUGUAGUGUCCAACAGAAAAAUCUGUGAACACUUCAGUUGUUCAAAGCACAGAUCCCCUUCUCCCUCCAGUCCUUCUCCCAAUAGAGUCAUGCUUAUGCUGUGGCAGGGAUUCCUGCUACUUCUUACCUCCAGUUGCUGACCUAUGACAUAAGCAGGCUGACCUUCUCUGAUGGGAUUACUCCUCUGCUGGGGAGCUGUCUCUGUCCCUCUCAGCCCACUGUCCUAUACCAUUUAGUGGACUACCAUCUCGUUUUAGGAGUCACUUAAUGCUGUAUAUGCUUAUUGGUGUCACAAAAUCAACCGAUUUCUUGUUGGUAUCGUCCCAGACAGCACUCACUUUAGCCUGCACUCAGUAAUGGCUGUUAACUCUUUCAGGUAGGCUAAAAGCAUUUUGCAUCUAUGAAAAUUUCAGUUCUGUAUUUCUGAACAAGCAGAGAAAUUCACAGUAACUUGCAGAGCUGCCAAACCAUGAAAUACAGAGCCCUGGCAAAGAAGAUUCUGAAGAGUUGUUUAUUUUUGGACAUGAAGACACAAUAUAUGAUGAAAUUAUGCUGUCAGAAAUAUUUUUCUAGUUCCCACUAACUUAAGGAAUCAAGCAUAUAGAGUUGAACAGUUAGGUCUGUGAGAGUCUUUUCUCAUCUUCUACGUGCAACUUGCUGGUAUCUGGAAGGACGACCUUGAUUCUGUAUCUGUUACCUACAAUCAGGCUCUCUGGAAGACAAAACUAUAUGGAUUUUUGGCAGUGCAGAGAUUACUAAAUGCAAUUAUGUAUAUUAAAAUACAGCACUGAUGAAAGGUGUAUGGUAUAACCAGGGAUGGUUUUGUGCCACUAUUGGACACGAAAUGAGUACAUAGAAGCUUGGUAAGUUUACAAGAGAAUAAAACUUAGUUUUAUUUAAACAUUUGGUAUUUAUAGAAUUUUAAGAGUGACUGUGGAUUGGAGGAUGAAAUUACUACCUCUCUAACCACACUAGUCCAAAGAUCAAUCAAUCAUUUUUCUCUACUUACAGAGAAAUGUGUAAACUAUUUUAUUUAUACAUUAAAUAGUGUGGGAACUUUUACAUUCUUAAAUAUGUAAACAUUAUCAGAAGACUAAAGAAGUUUUAUGAGAACUUUAAAACUUUCAAAAAAAACUAUAAAAGUUUUAAAAAUCAGGGUAACAGUUUUCAAAAGGUGAUGUGUAUGAUCAUAUAUCCAAGCCCAGAGGCUAGGGAAAGGUCAGUGAAUAUCCAUAGGGAAGCUGGGAAAGCAAGUUUAGAAGGAAGAACAAGAAAUAUGUAUGUUUGUGUAGUAUAGGUGUUCUAGAAAACAUUUUCUGGAUUUGAAACUUUCCUAUUAACAUAUCAGGUUUUCUUCACUCUGUCCAAAAAAAAAAAACCAUGCUGAGGUUCUGGCUUCUAUUGUGUAUUAGUUGUUGGAGACCUCUGAUGGGCAGCUGAAUCCCUCCUCAUCUUUUGUCUGUCUAAAGUGAAAUGCAUUGGUAUUGUCAAACCAAUAACCUGCAUCUCACUUGAUUUGGGUGCCGCAUGAGGUGGGGCACAAAGCUGUCUGUGUUACGAAGAGCACCACAGAGUGCCUUGGGAUGGAGAACAGCAGAAAAGACCUUCAGUUUGCGGAGCUGGCUCAAAGAUUUCUCCAGCACACAGUGGCCUUCAUAGAAGUGGUUUUUAUAUCCGAAUUCUUGUGAUAAAGCGGGGGAAAAAAAUAAAAAGAGAGUGAGACAACUGAUACAAAAUAGCUCUUAUGAAAGGGCCUCUUUUUUAAAAGUGGCUAUCCCACUUCUAAUAUAAUCAUCAGAAGUGACUUGCUGCUGGAGGCUUAGUUCUGUGUAGCAUGUCACUCUUCCUUUCUUUCUGUUGCAUUUUGUAUGACGGAUGUGACUGCUGUCAUCUGAAUUGUUUACUGCAUGAAAGAUAUAUUCCUCCUUGUGCUCAAAUCUCCAGAGCCAUCCCCAGUACAGUGCAAGGUGAUGUAUGUCUUGUCCAGCGUAGGUCACUGUGAGAGACGAGGUAUGAGUCACUUCCCUCGUGGGCAGUGGUGACUAACUGCCCCUCCUGCUGCAGAGCUGGGCACACAGGGAAUCCUCACCUCCAGCUCUCUGAUGACAACACCAUGUAACAGCAGUUUAUUAAGUUGCAAGAUGAAAGACUUUUACAGCUCAUAAAGGAGGAAAGCUUAUAAGGAGACAAAGUUCUAAUUCCAGGACACUGCUGCAUGCAAUUGAAUCAAUGGUGGUCACAGCAGAUUCCUGACACUGUGAGAUGGGAUUCUGCUGUUCUUCCUCUGUGUGGUCUUCAGAUGGGCCUCCAAACUGAGCUGAACUUCUGGAAAGCAAGAAAAGACAACAUUUUAUUUAAAAAUAAACAACAUUGGUAUAAGCCCAAGAUAUUGAUAUUUAUCUGACACCAAUGGAAAAAUACAUUCAGCUCUUUCAGAAGAUGAAAUUCCCAGAGAUUUGUUAAUUAAUCCCACCUUUAUUUUACACCAUCUGCCUGAUAUGGAGCCCCUCUGAGUUCUACAGCAUGCCUGCAUGAGUUGUAGCCACAACCUACUUAUUGCUCAGGUAGCUUCAAGUAAGGGUUCUAAACCACCUAAGUACCUAAUAAAUAAAUGUUACUUGAUACAUGGGACACUAAUAAAAAAGACAUGGACUUAAUCUGUCUUUUAGCUGCCUAAUAAACACCAAAAUUACAUUACAGAUACUAUCAACCAGUUUUAGAUUAUUAAAUUUGAAGAUGAGAUUAAUAAAUAGUUGUCAGAUAGCCAUCAGACAUACAGAUGCUGGGUACUUAAGAACAAAAUAUUCUUCUUGUCUAGAAACAAAUUCUCUAGAAGCCAUAUAACCUUUCCAGGGUGGGUUGCUGCUCCUUACUCUCUUUUGCUGGUAUAAGUCUGGGAAUUUCAAAAUGCUGGUAAGAGCUGCACAAGCCAAGAAAAUAUGGGCUUUGCAAACAAGCUCUGAAUGACCUGCCUUGAGGUGUUUUUUGUGGUCAAUAAGCUUUCUCCAUGCUCCCACUGAAACCAAGUGGACUGCUGGGGGUGUGAGCACUUUUAAAUGUUGGCAAGCAAAGAUGUUCUGUAAGGUUCACUGUUCAGAGUAUUUUGUUGGCCAGGAAGUAGGAGAAUUACACAUUAUAUAUGCAUGUGUGCUAGGUUUGAUUCUGGGGUUGGGGGAGCCCUCUUCUGCAAGUUUACUAAAUGAUAAAAUCUAAGAGAACUGAUAUUGCCAUUUUUGUAUUUCUUGGCACAAUAUAUGCUGCAGGAGAAUUAGUACCCAAAAGCUGUGGCAGUAUUAUGUCAAACAGGUGAAUAAAUUUCCAAUAUCACUUUUACUGAGAGAAAGAAACUCCCUUUACUGUGUUAUUUUCUGAAUGUUCACUGUACAGAAGGUGAUACCUGAGAGUCAGUCUAGCUGGGCAGGUUGAGGAUGCUCUGGGAGCACCUCAAAACUGAGAAUUGCAUUAUGAGAUAAGUGUAAAACUAUAAUCAUUAGAGAUAAAAAUUUUAAAAUAUAAUACAUAUUGGGGUUUGUGUUUAUAUAUAAAUUUAGAAAUAACUUUAUGACUGACAUCAUGACUACAUUUUGAAAAGUAACUUUUAAUUUUUUUAUGUGGUUCAUUUAUUUACAUUAUAGAUUGUAUCUUUCACCAAAAAUCUUUCCAAAGAAGAAACUGAAGAAGCAUUAGAGCAUGUGAAAACAGCUAAAACUACCUCAAAAAGCUUUGAGAAUUUAUUCUUUAAUCACAAAAACACAUUGGAGAGUUACUUCACCUGUGCUAAGGAAGUUAAACCAUGGGAUUUCCCAUCUGAGAUGUUGUCUUCCAGAUUUAAUAUGUUCCCUAGAAACUCACUGAAGAUUGAGGUAUUGCUUAUUAUCUCUGCUUUUGGAUAAAUGCUGUUGAAUAAAUAAGUAUCUGAGAAAUAUGGGCUAUUCUCAGUCAUGCAGACAGCCAGGCUCAGGUUUCUAAUAUCCAGAACACAAAAUCACAGUGCAUAGAGGAGAGUUAAUAGUGUUGAACAGGAUGUCACAUGCUGUGCAAGGGGCAGUCCAGUAAUAGCA